rnacentral:rRNA from 1 species
CGACCGGCGCACGGGUGAGUAACGCGUAUCCAACCUGCCCUUUACUAUGGGACAGCCCGUCGAAAGGCGGAUUAAUACCGUAUGUUGUCAUGUUGAUGCAUAUUUUCAUGACCAAAGGCUUCGGCCGGUAAAGGAUGGGGAUGCGUCUGAUUAGCUUGCCGGCGGGGUAACGGCCCACCAAGGCGACGAUGCGUAGGGGUUCUGAGAGGAAGGUCCCCCACACUGGUACUGAGACACGGACCAGACUCCUACGGAAGGCAGCAG